rnacentral:rRNA from 1 species
CCUACGGGUGGCAGCAGUGAGGAAUAUUGGUCAAUGGGCGCGAGCCUGAACCAGCCAAGUAGCGUGAAGGAUGACGGCCCUAAGGGUUGUAAACUUCUUUUAUAAAGGAAUAAAGUGAGGCACGUGUGCCUUUUUGAAUGUACUUUAUGAAUAAGGAUCGGCUAACUCCGUGUCAGCAGCCGCGGUAAUACGGAGGAUCCGAGCGUUAUCCGGAUUUAUUGGGUUUAAAGGGAGCGUAGGUGGGUUGUUAAGUCAGUUGUGAAAUUUUGCGGCUCAACCGUAAAAUUGCAAUUGAUACUGGCAGUCUGGAGUACAGUUGAGGUAGGUGGAAUUCGUGGUGUAGCGGUGAAAUGCUUAGAUAUCACGAAGAACCCCGAUUGCGAAGGCAGCUUACUAAACUGACACUGACAUUGAUGCUCGAAAGCGUGGGUAGCAAACAGGAUUAGAUACCCGUGUAGUC